rnacentral:rRNA from 1 species
UACGAAGGGGGCUAGCGUUGUUCGGAUUUACUGGGCGUAAAGCGCACGUAGGCGGAUCGUUAAGUCAGGGGUGAAAUCCCGGAGCUCAACUCCGGAACUGCCUUUGAUACUGGCGAUCUUGAGGCUGGAAGAGGUUAGUGGAAUUCCGAGUGUAGAGGUGAAAUUCGUAGAUAUUCGGAAGAACACCAGUGGCGAAGGCGACUCGCUGGACAGGUAUUGACGCUGAGGUGCGAAAGCGUGGGGAGCAAACAGG